rnacentral:rRNA from 1 species
UGAGCCAAGUUUAGGGUUUCUUAAAAACCCAAGCAGUAUUGAACUGAAGAGUUUGAUCA